rnacentral:rRNA from 1 species
UACGUAGGGCGCAAGCGUUGUCCGGAAUUAUUGGGCGUAAAGCGCACGUAGGCGGCUUUUCAAGUCCCAUGUGAAAGCCCACGGCUUAACCGUGGAAGUGCAUGGGAAACUGGAAGCUUGAGUACUUAAGAGGGAUCGCGGAAUUCCCGGUGUAGAGGUGAAAUUCGUAGAUAGUCGGGAAGGAACACCAGUGGCGAAGGCGGCGAUCUGGGAAGAUACUGACGCUGAGGUGCGGAAAGCGUGGGGAGCAAACAGG